GCUCAGAUUGAACGCUGGCGGCAGGCCUAACACAUGCAAGUCGAACGGUAACAGGAAACAGCUUGCUGUUUCGCUGACGAGUGGCGGACGGGUGAGUAAUGUCUGGGAAACUGCCUGAUGGAGGGGGAUAACUACUGGAAACGGUAGCUAAUACCGCAUAAUGUCGCAAGACCAAAGAGGGGGACCUUCGGGCCUCUUGCCAUCGGAUGUGCCCAGAUGGGAUUAGCUAGUAGGUGGGGUAACGGCUCACCUAGGCGACGAUCCCUAGCUGGUCUGAGAGGAUGACCAGCCACACUGGAACUGAGACACGGUCCAGACUCCUACGGGAGGCAGCAGUGGGGAAUAUUGCACAAUGGGCGCAAGCCUGAUGCAGCCAUGCCGCGUGUAUGAAGAAGGCCUUCGGGUUGUAAAGUACUUUCAGCGGGGAGGAAGGGAGUAAAGUUAAUACCUUUGCUCAUUGACGUUACCCGCAGAAGAAGCACCGGCUAACUCCGUGCCAGCAGCCGCGGUAAUACGGAGGGUGCAAGCGUUAAUCGGAAUUACUGGGCGUAAAGCGCACGCAGGCGGUUUGUUAAGUCAGAUGUGAAAUCCCCGGGCUCAACCUGGGAACUGCAUCUGAUACUGGCAAGCUUGAGUCUCGUAGAGGGGGGUAGAAUUCCAGGUGUAGCGGUGAAAUGCGUAGAGAUCUGGAGGAAUACCGGUGGCGAAGGCGGCCCCCUGGACGAAGACUGACGCUCAGGUGCGAAAGCGUGGGGAGCAAACAGGAUUAGAUACCCUGGUAGUCCACGCCGUAAACGAUGUCGACUUGGAGGUUGUGCCCUUGAGGCGUGGCUUCCGGAGCUAACGCGUUAAGUCGACCGCCUGGGGAGUACGGCCGCAAGGUUAAAACUCAAAUGAAUUGACGGGGGCCCGCACAAGCGGUGGAGCAUGUGGUUUAAUUCGAUGCAACGCGAAGAACCUUACCUGGUCUUGACAUCCACAGAACUUUCCAGAGAUGGAUUGGUGCCUUCGGGAACUGUGAGACAGGUGCUGCAUGGCUGUCGUCAGCUCGUGUUGUGAAAUGUUGGGUUAAGUCCCGCAACGAGCGCAACCCUUAUCCUUUGUUGCCAGCGGUCCGGCCGGGAACUCAAAGGAGACUGCCAGUGAUAAACUGGAGGAAGGUGGGGAUGACGUCAAGUCAUCAUGGCCCUUACGACCAGGGCUACACACGUGCUACAAUGGCGCAUACAAAGAGAAGCGACCUCGCGAGAGCAAGCGGACCUCAUAAAGUGCGUCGUAGUCCGGAUUGGAGUCUGCAACUCGACUCCAUGAAGUCGGAAUCGCUAGUAAUCGUGGAUCAGAAUGCCACGGUGAAUACGUUCCCGGGCCUUGUACACACCGCCCGUCACACCAUGGGAGUGGGUUGCAAAAGAAGUAGGUAGCUUAACCUUCGGGAGGGCGCUUACCACUUUGUGAUUCAUGACUGGGGUGAAGUCGUAACAAGGUAACCGUAGGGGAACCUGCGGUUGGAUCACCUCCUU
rnacentral:rRNA from 1 species